rnacentral:rRNA from 1 species
UAGGGAAUCUUCGGCAAUGGGGGGAACCCUGACCGAGCAACGCCGCGUGAGUGAAGAAGGUUUUCGGAUCGUAAAGCUCUGUUGUUAAGGAAGAACGAGUGUGAGAAUGGAAAGUUCAUGCUGUGACGGUACUUAACCAGAAAGGGACGGCUAACUACGUGCCAGCAGCCGCGGUAAUACGUAGGUCCCGAGCGUUGUCCGGAUUUAUUGGGCGUAAAGCGAGCGCAGGCGGUUAGAAAAGUCUGAAGUGAAAGGCAGUGACUCAACCAUUGUAGGCUUUGGAAACUGUUUAACUUGAGUGCAGAAGAGGAGAGAGGAAUUCCAUGUGUAGCGGAGAAAUGCGUAAAUAUAUGGAGGAACACCGGUGGCGAAAGCGGCUCUCUGGUCUGUAACUGACGCUGAGGCUCGAAAGCGUGGGGAGCGAACAGG